GCAAGUCGAGCGGUAAGCUAACUUCGGUUAGCCUAGAGCGGCGGACGGGUGAGUAACACGUGGAUAAUCUACCUGGUAGUGGGGGACAACAUGGUGAAAACCAUGCUAAUACCGCAUACGCCCUACAGGGGAAAGCGGGGGACCUUCGGGCCUCGUGCUAUCGGAUGAGCCUGCGUUGGAUUAGCUUGUUGGUGAGGUAAAAGCUCACCAAGGCGACGAUCCAUAGCUGGUCUGAGAGGAUGAUC
rnacentral:rRNA from 1 species